rnacentral:rRNA from 1 species
UACGGGGGGGUAAGCGUUGUUCGGAAUUAUUGGGCGUAAAGAGCGUGUAGGCGGCCAGGUAGGUCCGGUGUGAAAACUCGAGGCUUAACCUCGAGAUGUCAUCGGAAACCAUCUGGCUAGAGUCCGGAAGAGGAAAGUGGAAUUCCUGGUGUAGCGGUGAAAUGCGCAGAUAUCAGGAAGAACACCAAUGGCGAAAGCAGCUUUCUGGGACGGUACUGACGCUGAGACGCGAAAGCGUGGGGAGCGAACAGG